rnacentral:tRNA from 1 species
UCCCUGGUGGUCUAGUAGUCAAGACUCUGCGCUCCCAAUGCGGGCAGCCCAGGUUCAAUCCUUGGUCAGGAAC